AAAUGCUAGUUAAAUUAUAAUAAAGUCUUGUCAAGACUUGGUUACCAAGCGGUGUAUUUCA
rnacentral:tRNA from 1 species